rnacentral:lncRNA from 1 species
UUCAAGCCAAAGAACAAAGGGGGAAAGAAUAGAAAACCCCUAAGGAGGAAAAAUUCAAGAGAAAUUCAUUGGAUUUUCGAAAAAUGAAGCGAUCGGAGGUAAGAUUUCGCAAUUUACCUUAAGAUCUACCUUACCCAUGCUUUCUUUUUCAUUUUCUAUGGUUGAAACUCAAGUUUUCAUGAUGGAAGCAUGCUGGCCGAAUCAAGGGGGGAAGGUUUUGAUGAUGGUUUUUGAUAGAUUUUAGGCUAUCUAGGUGUUUUUAGUGUUUUGUGAUAUUCGGUAUGAAAAACAAGCAAGAAAAUAACAUGUUCUUCAUCAAACCCUAAUUGGUCGAAUUCUAUAGGGAAUAUUUUAAAGAUGAAUUCUGUCAUAUUUCAUGUUAUCUAGCUCGUAUUUGAUGAUUCGUGAUGUCAGAUAUCGAAAACGGUUAUCGAAAAAUAUAGUUCCUUUAGUAAACGACUUGAACGAUAAUGAGAAAAUUAUAGUAAAUGGACUUAGAAUUGAUUUCUAAAGAGGUAUAUGGACUUAUUGGAGUACCAAAAGUGCUAUGAAUCUAUUGGGAGUUGAAUUGGAUGUUUUGGCUUAUUAAACAAUGUAUAGUGCGAGUUAGGUCGAAUACCAUUUCAGUCCAACAAUAAUUGAACCAACGUAGAACACCAUCUUUAAGUGAUUAUUCGAACACUUCUCAUUCAAUUUCAUACAUUCAUAAAGAGCCUAAAAUAGUUUUGUAACAAUUUGGCACAAAUAUAUUGAAUUACUUGUUAUGUAUUAUGUAUAGAUGGUGAGCUCUCUGGUAAGGGUAAGGAUAUCAUACCCGAGGACCAGGAGUAGGAGUACUCCCGUUAUAGUGAGUAACAGACUUUCAUCUUAAGUAUCUAAAGUUGUUUCUACUCGUUUUUAUGUUUUAAAGAAUAAUCAGUUUAAAUUGUAAAUUAUUAUGUUUUAAAAUUAAAGUGUUAGUUAAACAAAAUGAGAUUUAUAACUUGCUUUGAAAUCGAAUACUGGUUUUGAAAAUUGAGUAAGUGGAGACUAUAUGCUUGUGCUAUAUAUAUGUUUUGACAUAUGGUUUGAAUUGAUGACUUAUGACAAUGUGAUGGCAUGAAUGGCUGGAUUUGCGUUUGUGUGGAAUAUAUGAAUUGUUUUGUUUUACCUUGACAAGUUGAGUGAUAUCAUAUUAUCCAUGUCAUGCUGUUGAAUUUUUAUUGAUUUGGUGGGGUAAGUGAUUAGCUUACUGCAGUGGACGGGUUUUCGUGGACCAGCCAAUUAGAGGGGCACGGUAAACCCUGUUAUAUUUUACCUUAGUACAAAAGGCGCGAAGGGUUUCUCCUAAGGUAGUUUAGAGUUCACUUCGCGCCGAACCACCACGUAAUGGUGAAACUCAACCAACGCCAAGGAACGGCUACGUUUUUAAACGUAAAAACAUGUUUUAUGUGUAUAUGUUAAUUUAACAGCCUUGACAGACUCAGUUGGAUGCCCGGCUCAAGGUGUCACCGAGUACGAGUUUUGGCACGAGCCAAGUUUUAAGAGUCAUAAGCCUUACUGAUUUUUUUUUAUGAAAUGUAAUUGUUUUAUACGGUUGAAAUGAGUUUUAAUGUUAUGAAUCAUAUUAUGAAGAGAUGUUUUAAUUCUCUCCAUUUACUCGGUUUUAGAUGUUAUAGAUGAACUUUGCUUACUCCCUAGGUUUAUAAAAACUCACCCCCUUCUUUUCACCCAUUUCAAGUUCAGAGCAGUCUGUAGACAGUCGAUUUUAUCGAGGGUUUGCUUUUGGAUUUGCACCCUUAGAAAUCGUAGAUCUACAGUCCUAUUUAUUUUUGUUAUUUUAGGGCUCACAUGUCAUUGUAGAAUAUUUUUGUAUACCUUGGCGCAUUGUGCUAUUAUAUAUAUGAAUUUAUUUUGUUAUUACACUACAGUAAUUAUUGACGUAGAAUUUUAUAAAUAUUAUUUUAUAUGAAAAUGGAAUAUUUUAUCCAAUAUUUUUAUUUAGUUCUAUUAGAUAAAAAUUCACUUUAAAUGGAUGUUUUAGAUACUUAAAUUUAUUUUUAGAUAUGAAAUGUAUACUUUUCAUUUAUAUAUUAUAUUUUUAGCAGGUUUCAAAAUUUUUGGGUAAAAAUGAUCAAAAUACUCCUGUGCGGUAAAAAUUACUUUUUGAUUGUCUUUGAUUUGAAAAUAGUCUAUAUUCUUUUAAAACAUGAUAUUUAGUAACUGUUGCUCACAAGGGAGGUGGAAAAUUGAUGCUAGAGCCUUGCGAGGUUUCGAUUGACAUUUCGGAUAAGAUAUGUCUAUCAGGACAUCGUGACGGUUGUCACGGGUUCGAAGAGAGUACCGGGUCGUGACAAUUCUAUUGGUAUCAAAGCCAUUGAUUUUAAAGUUAUUUUAAAAACUACAAUGUUAUUGUGGCCCCAAGUUAAGUUAGAUUGAGUUGAAUGCAUGCAUCUGCAUAUAGGACCUGAAGUUGUCUAAAUUCGUUAUGUUUCUUCUUAUAGAUCAUAUGUGAGCACGACAUUCGCAUCAUUUUCUAAUAGAAACCUGUCACCUUUAGAGGAGGAAAUUGUAGUUCAUACCCCUCUAGGAGAGUAGUUGGUUAGAAACACCUAUUAUAGAGACUGUGAAAUAAGAGUUGGUGAGGAAGAAUUCAGGGCUGACUUAAUUCUCCUAGAAAUCUGAGAUUUUGAUUUGAUAUUGGGUAUGGAUUAGUUGACUACACAUCGGGCGAAUGUGAAUUGUUUCAGGAAGGAAGUUGUACUUCAGAAUUCUAAGGGAGUAGAGGUUAUAUUUGCAGGGGAACGUCGAGUAUUACCAUCCUAUGUAAUCUCGACUAUCAAAGCUUUGAAACUAGUGCAGAAAGGACAUCCGGCUUAUCUAGCACAUGUGAUUGAUACCUUAAAAGGGGAACCUAAGUUAGAGGAUGUCCCAAUAGUAAAUGAGUUCUCUGAUGUGUUUCUGGGUGAAUUACCAAGACUACCUCUUCAUCGAGAGCUUGAGUUAUCUAUUGAUCUAUUUUCGGGUACCGCACCUAUUUUUAUUCUUCCAUAUCGGAUGGCUCCUAUGGAAUUAAAGGAGUUGAAAGUCCAGCUGCAAGACUUGGUAGAUAAAGGUUUUAUUCGCCCUAGUACUUCUCCUUGGGGUGCGCCAGUCCUAUUUGUAAAGAAAAAGGAUGACACUCUUCGGCUAUGUAUUGACUACCGUCAAUUGAGCCGAGUGACCAUUAAGAAUAAAUAUCCUCUACCACAGAUUAAAUAUCCUUUUGAUUAGCUACAGGGUGCUAUGAUGUUUUCUAAGAUUGAUUUGAGGUCUAGGUAUCAUCAGUUGAAGAUCAAGGAACAAGAUGUACCCAAGACUGCUUUCAGAACUCGUUAUGGGCAUUACGAGUUUCUGGUUAUGCCUUUUGGUCUGACUAAUGCCCCGAUAGUUUUUAUGGACCUCAUGAACAGGGUGUUCCAUUCGCACUUGGAUAAGUUCGUGAUAGUGUUUAUAGACGACAUCCUAGUGUAUUCGAAGGAUGAUGAUGAACAUGCUGUCCAUUUGCGCAUUAUGCUGCAAACCUUAUGCAAGAGACAAUUCUAUGCCAAGUUUUCCAAAUGUGAGUUCUGGUUGAAGGAAGUAGUUUUCUUGGGACAUGUGGUGUUUGGAGCUAGAAUUUAUGUCGAUCCCAAGAAGAUUGAGGUAAUCUUACAGUGGGAGCAACUGAAAAUGGUGACAGAGAUUCAGAGUUUCCUCGGUUUAGUCAGUUAUUAUAAGAGGUUCGUUCAGGGGUUCUCAUUGAUAGUUGCUCUUUUGACUCGUCUGACUCAUAAAGGAAUCAAGUUUGAAUGGGAUGAUGUUUGCGAGAGUCAGUUUCAGGAGCUAAAGAACCAGUUGACCUCCACUCUAAUUUUGACACUUCCUGUUAGUGGGAAAGAAUUUGUGGUAUAUAGUGAUGCCUCUAAAUUGGGAUUAGGGUGCGUGUUAAUACAGGAUGAGAAAGUAGUAGUUUAUGCUUCUCGACAGUUAACGAAACAUGAGAUGAAUUACCCUACCCACGAUUUGGAGUUUGCAGCAAUAGUCUUUGCAUUGAAGAUCUGGAGGCAUUACUUAUAUGGUGAGCGUUGUCGGAUCUUUACCGACCACAAAAGCUUGAAAUACUUGCUCACCCAGAAAGAACUCAACCUGAGACAAAGACGCUUGUUAGAGUUGAUUAAGGAUUACGACUUAGUGAUUGAUUAUCAUCCGAGGAAGGCAAACGUUGUAGCAGAUGCCUUGAGUCGUAAAUCCUCAUCUUCAUUAGCAUCAUUUCGAAAGUCUUAUCUUCCGAUGCUACUUGAGAUGAAAUCUCUAGGGAUCCAGUUGAGUAAUGGCGAGAAUGGAACCUUACUUGCUAGUUUUGUUGUGAGACCCUCACUAUUGAAUCAAAUCAGAGAAUUGCAGAAGUCUGAUGAUGAGUUGAGGCGGGAAGUUCAAAAGUUGCAAGAUGGAGAAACUAGUGAGCUCAGACUCGGUGAUGAUGGUAUUUUGAUGCUUGGGAAUCGGGUUUUUGUCCUUAAGGAUGAUCAGCUGAGACAGGCUAUUUUGGAGGAAGCUCAUUCUUUCGCUUAUGCUUUACAUCCCGGAAGCACAAAAAUGUAUAGGACUAUCAAGGAAAGUUACUGGUGGCCGGGUAUGAAACGAGACAUAGCAGAGUUUGUGACGAAAUGUCUCACAUGCCAGCAAAUCAAGGUGGAACAUCAGAAACCAUCGAGUACUCUUCAGCCUCUACCUAUCCCUAAAUGGAAGUGGGAGCACGUGACUAUGGACUUUGCAUUGGGUUUACUGCGGACGCAGAGUGGGAAAAAUGCUAUUUGGGUGAUUGUGGAUAGAUUGACUAAGUCCGCCCAUUUCUUGGCUAUCCAUAACACGUAUUCCAUUGAGAAACUAGCUAAGCUUUAUAUUGAUGAGAUAGUGAGAUUGACAUGACUCAGUACUCCCAUCGAGUCCAUGACAACCAUCGCAAUGUCUCGAUUGACAUUCAUUACCCAGAAUGCCAAUCGAAACCUCGCAAGGCUUUCGCAUCAGUUUUACUUCUCCCAUGUGAGCAACAAUUAUUAAAUACCAUGUUUUAAAGAAAUAUAGACUAAUUUCAAAUCAAAAACAAUCAAAAAGUAAUUUCUACUACACAGGGGUAUUUUGGUCAUUUUACCCAAAAUUUUCGAACCCUGGUAAAAAUAUGGUACACGAGUAAUAAGCAUCCAUUUCAUGUCUAAAAAUAAGUUUCAUUGUCUAAUUCAUCAAUUUAAAGUGAAAUUAUAGCUAUUCAAAUUAAAUAAAAAUAUUAAAUAAAAUAUUCCAUUUUCUUAUAAAAUAAUAUAUAUAGAACUCUACGUAAAUAAUUUUUGUAGCGUAAAAGUAAAAUAAAUUCAUACAUACAGUGGCACACGCAGCCAGGUAUACAAAACAUUCUACAAUGACAUGUGGGCCUCCUAAAUAACCGAAAUAUACAAGACUGUAGACCUUCAAUUUCUAAAGAUGCAAUCUAAAAGCAACCCUCGACAAAAUCGACUGUCUACAGACUGUCCUAAGCCUGAAAUGGAUAAAAAGAAGAGGUGAGUUUUUAUAAACCCAGUGAGUAAGCAAAUUUCAUCUAUAACAUCUAAAGCAGAGUAAAUGGAGACAAUUUAAAACAUCUCAGUAUAAUAUGAUUCAUAAUAUCAAAUUUCAUUUCAAUCCGUAUAAAUCAAUUACAUUUCAUCAAAAAUAAUUAACAAGGCUUAUGACUCUCUUAAAAACUUGGCUCAUGCCUAAAACUCGUACUCGGUGACACCUUGGCCCGGGGCAUCCAACCGAGUCUGCCAAGGCUGUUAAAAUAACAUAUGCACAUAAAACAAGUUUUUACGUUCAAAACACAGCCGUUCCUUGGCGUUGAAUGAGUUUCACCUUCACGUGGUGGUUCGGUGUGAAGUGAACUCUAAUGUUACCUUAGGAGAUACCCUCCGUGCCUCUCGUACCAAGGUAAAAUAUAACCGGGUUUACCGUGCCCCUCUAAUAGGUUGGUCCACGAAAACCCGCCCACUGUAGUAAGCUAAUCAAAUAACCCACCAAUUCAAUAAAUUUUUCGACAGCAUGACAUGGCUAAUAUAAUAUUACCAGCUUGUCAAGGCAAAGCAAAAUAGUUCAUAUAUUCCACACAAACACAAAUCCAGCCAUGCUUGCCAUCACAUUGUCAUAAGCCAUCAAUUCAAACCAUAUGUCAAAACAUAUAUAUAACACAAGUAUACAGUCUCCACUUACUCAAUUUCCAAAACUAAUAUUCAAUAUCAAAUCAAGUUAUAAAUCUCAUUUCGUUUAAUCAACACUUCAAUUAUAAAACAUAAUAGUUUGCAAUUUAAAUUCAUUUUUCUUUAAAACAUAAAAACGAGUAUAAACUACUUUAGAUAGUUAAGAUGAAAGUCUGAUUACUCACAAUAACGGGAGUAUGAAGUACUCCUAUUCUUGAUCCUCGGGUACGAUAUCCUUACCCUUACUAGAGGGCUCACCACCUAUACAUAAUACACGACACGUAAUUCAAUAUAUUUGUACCAAACUGUCAUAAAACUAUUUCAGGCUCUAUAUGAAUCCAUGAAAUUGAAUGAGAAAUGUUCGGAUAGUCACUUAAAGAUGGUGUUCUACGUAGGUUCAAUUGUGAUCGGAAUGAAUUUGUAUUUGACCUACUUCGAACUAUACACCAUUGAUUUAACCAAAACAUUCGAUUCAACUCCAAAUAUAUUCGUUACACUCCCAAUAAUCUGAUACACCAAAGCAUUACAAUGAACUUGAUUUUUUACUAACUUCACCAUUUUUCGAAAUUCAUUCCAAUUCCGAACUAACAUACUAAUCAAUGUCAACACAGUCUCGUAAAUCCAUCUAUAUAUCAUUAGGAAUCAAAUCCAAGUCCAUUUAUUAUGAUUUUCGCAUUUUCCAUCAAGCCAUUUUAUAAAGGAACUAUACUUUUCAAUAACCGAUUUUGAUAUCCAACAUCAUAAUUCAUCAAUUCCUAGCUAAAUAAUAUGAAUUACAACCAAAUCCAUCAUUAACAUGCCCUAUAGAAAAUUCGGCGAAAUGAGGGUGGUUAAAGAACAUGUGAUUUUCUUGCUUGUUUUUCCUUCCAAACAUCACAAAAUGACUAAAAACACUAGGAUAUUAUGAAAUCUAGCAAAAUUCAUCACCAAAACUUCUCUCUCUAGGUUUGGCCAGCAAAGGUUCCCUCUUGAAAACUUGAAUUUCAACCAUGGAGAAUGAAAAAGAAUACAUGGGAAAAAUAGAUCACAAGCUAAAAAAAAUCUUACCUUUACUUGCUUGAUUCCUUGAAAUCGAACAAUUUCUCUUGAAUUUUCCUUCCUAGGGUUUGCUCUUCUCUUUUUCUCUUUGUUCCCUUGCUUGGCUGGCCAUAAGAGUGUGAAUGUGAGGGUUUUAAGUGAGUUUAUAUAGGCAAUUAAAAUAAUAUUAAAGCUUGACAUUUGUCACCUUUUAAUUGGUCCAUGUUUAAAAACUUAAUAAUUAAGUAAUCUUUCACCACCACAUGUAAUCCCAUAAUUAUCCAAAGUAUAAAGUGAUAAUAGGUGAAAUUCACGGGUUUGACAAGUGUCAUGGUGGUGUAAAAUUUCAAUUACGUCCUCAUGGAUGCGUGAAAUGAUCGUUUUGCCCUUAUACUAGAAAAAUGUCGGAAUUGAAAUUUUUCACUCCACAAUUUCAAAUUAUGCUCCAAAUAGUCAAACUUGGUCAAAAUCUCAUCCAACAUUCCAAUUUUGCCCUUGGAUGGCAAAAUGACCAUUUUGCCCCUACAUUAUAAAAAUUUUCGUCUAAACUUCAAAUCAAUCCUCGAACUCCAAAUCACCAUAUUAAGACAUUUUAAGGUUCAAUAUCUCUCAAAUGUAUCUUAAAAUCUCUAUUUGGACUAGUUCGAGGCUUUAAUCAACUUAAUUAGACCACUAGGUAUAAUACCGACUUUUAACGAUUUUUCAAUACAUUCACUUAUGCAACAUUCUAUCAAGCACAUGAAUGACAUGACAAGUAUAUAAUAGAGUAGGGCUUGACAGAGAUUGCAUGGAGUUUCAAUCUCUAUCGUGUUAAAUCGAAACCCCUGGUUCACUUCUCGAUUCUGGCUGAAAUUCCAAGACGUUCUCGAAACUAAUUUGAGAUUUAACACUGCCUUUCAUCCACAGACAGAUGGUUAGUCUGAAAGAACCAUUCAAACUUUGGAAGAUAUGCUACGAGCUUGUGUCAUUGACUUUAUUGAGAGUUAGAAUAGACACUUGUCGUUGGUGGAGUUCACGUAUAACAACAGUUUUCAAUUUAGUAUUGGGAUGGCACCAUACGAGGCUCUGUAUGGGAGAACGUGCUGAACUCCACUCUGCUGGGAUGAAGUGGGUGAAAGGAAAUUGUUUAAUGUAGAGUUGAUUGAUUUAACUAAUGACAAGAUCAAGGUUAUUCGACAACGAUUAAAGAUAACUCAAGACAAGUAAAAAAGUUACUCUGAUAGACAGAGAAAAGACCUAAAAUUUGAAGUUGAUGAUAGAGUUUUUCUUAAGGUUUCUCCUUGGAAAGGUAAUGAUUUGAAUACUUUGAGGUAUUAAGUCUUAUUUGAUUAUACUAUUAUAGUAAAUUGUGGUAUCUUGGAUAAUAAAAGGUGUGAUUCGAUUUGCAAAGCGAGAAAAACUCAAUCCGAGAUACAUUGGACCCUUUCGUGUCAUUGAAAGGAUUGGGCCAGUGACAUAUAGACUAGAAUUACCCUCGGAGUUGGAUCGGAUUCACAAUGUCUUCCAUGUCUCAAUGCUGAAGAAGUAUGUACUUAAUCCCUCCCAUAUUCUCGAGGCACCUUGGAUUGAGUUGCAAAAAGAUUUAAAGUUCAAGGUACAGCCUAUACAUAUUCUAGAUCGAAAGGAUCAAGUGUUGAGGAAUAAGAGCAUCCCGAUGGUUAAGGUGUUGUGGAAGAAUGCUCGGAUGGAAGAGAUGACAUGGGAAGUUGAGCACCAGAUGAGAAGCCAAUAUCCCCAUUUUUUCUCAUAAUCCGGUAAGUAAAAUUUUGAGGUCAAAAUUUUAUUUUAAGGGGGGUAGUGCUGUUAAGCCCAACUCUAUAAUAUACUUGUCAUGUCAUUCAUGUACUUGAUAGCAUGUCUGCAUACUUGGAUGCCUCAAAAAAUCGUUAAAAGUCCGUAUUGUACUUAGUGGUACAAUUAAGUCGAUUAAAGCCUCGAACUAGUCCAAAUAGAGAUUUUGGGAUGUAUUUGAGAGUUAUUGAACCUUAGAAUGUCUUAAAAUGGUGAUUUGGAGUUCGAGGAUUAAUUUAGAAUCCAAUCGAGAAUUUUCAUAACGUAUGGGCAAAAUGGUCAUUUUGACACCCGAGGGCAAAAUUGGAAUGUUGGAUGAGAUUUUUGAUCAAGUUUGACUAGUUGGAACAUAAUUUGAAUUUAAGGAGUGAAAAAUUUCAAUUUUGAGCAUAAGGGCAAAGUGGUCAUUUCACGUGUCCACGAGGACGUAAUUGGAAUUUUUAAAAUUUUACACCACCAUGACACUUGUCAAGCCCAUGAAUUUCACCUAUUAUCAUUUUAUACUUUGGAUAAUUAUGGGAUUAUAUGUGGUGGAAAGGAAAAGCCUUAUUAGUUAAGUUUUAAAUGUGAACCAAUUAUAUGUUGCCAUGUGUCAAGUUUUUAUUAUUUUAUAAUUUCCUUUAUAAACUCAACAUAAACUCUCCCAUUCACUCUCUCAUUGCCGUUCAAACCAAAGAACAAAGGGGGAAAGAAUAGAAAAACCCUAAGGAGGAAAAAUUCAAGAGAAAUUCAUUGGAUUUUCGAAAAAUGAAGCGAUCGGAGGUAAGAUUUCGCGAUUUAGCUUAAGAUCUACCUUACCCAUGCUUUCUUUUUCAUUUUCUAUGGUUGAAACUCAAGUUUUCAUGAUGGAAGCAUGCUGGCCGAAUCAAGGGGGGAAGGUUUUGAUGAUGGUUUUUGAUAGAUUUUAGACUAUCUAGAUGUUUUUAGUGUUUUAUGAUAUUCGGUAUGAAAAACAAGCAAGAAAAUAACAUGUUCUUCAUCAAACCCUAAUUGGCCGAAUUCUAUAGGGAAUAUUUUGAAGAUAAAUUUUGUCAUAUUUCAUGUUAUCUAGCUUGUAUUUGAUGAUUCGUGAUGUCGGAUAUCGAAAACGAUUAUCGAAAAGUAUAGUUUCUUUAGUAAACGACUUGAACGAUAAUGAGAAAAUUAUAGUAAAUGGACUUAGAAUUGAUUUCUAAUGAGGUAUACGGACUUAUUGGAGUAUCGAAAGUGCAAUGAAUCUAUUUGGAGUUUAAUUGGAUGUUUUGGCUAAUUAAAUAGUGUAUAGUGCGAGUUAGGUCGAAUACCAUUUCAAUCCAACAAUAAUUGAACCUACGUAGAACACCAUCUUUAAGUGAUUAUUCGAACACUUCUCAUUCAAUUUCAUACAUUCAUAAAGAGCCUGAAAUAGUUUUAGAACAGUUUGGCACAAAUAUAUUGAAUUACUUGUUAUGUAUUAUGUAUAGGUGGUGAGUCCUCUGGUAAAGGUAAGGAUAUCGUACCCGAGGACCAAGUGUCACAACCCGGUACUCCCCUCAAGCCUGUGACAACCGUCGUAGUGUCCCAAUCGACACUCAUUACCCAAAAUGUCAAUCGAAACCCCGCAAGGCUUUAAUAUCUGUUUCUCAUUUCCCCUGUGAGUAACCGUUGCCAAAUAUCAUGUUCUAAAAGAUUUUAAGUUAUUUCCAACUUAAAUCAAUAAAAAAAUGAUUUCUGUCUCACAAGGGCAUUUUGGUCAUUUCUCUUCAAAAAUCUGGAAACCAGCUAAAACUAUAGUAUACAAGUGGAAAACACAUAUUUCAUAAUCAAAAAUAAGUUUAGAUAUCUAUAAUAUUCAUUGAAAGUGAAAUUAUAACUAUCUGAAUAUAAUAAAAAUAUUCAAUAAAAUAUUCUAUUUUAUUAUAAAACAAUAUUUAUAGAGUUAUCGGUAAAUAAUUUUUGUAGCGUAAAAGCUAAAUAAAUUCAUACAUACUGUAAUACAGAUAACCAAAGUGUAAAAUUUAAUUUACAGUGACACGUGGGCUCACGAACGACCAAAAAUAUCAAAAGCGGUAAACCUACAGUUUUUGAGGAUGCAAGUUCAAUUGUAGCCCUCAACAAAGUGAGCUAUCUACCGACUAUUCUGAGCCUGAAAUGGGUGAAAAGAAAAGUGGUGAGAUUAUAUAAUCCUAAUGAGUAAACAAAUACCAUCUAAAAUAUCUAAAGCUGAGUAAAUGGAGACAGAUAAAAUAGAUUCGCAUAAAAAUUAUUCUUAGUAUUUCGAACUCAUUUUAAUAAGAUAAAAUAGAUUCAUUUCACCAAAAUAAACAACGAGGCUUAUGAUUUCCUGAAAAGUUUGGCUCAUGGCAAAAUCAUUCUCAUACUCAGUUAUCAGGGAUACCUUGGCCGAAGGCUAUCCCAAUCGAGUCCGCCAAGGCUAUUAAAAAGUUAUGUACACAUAAAUCAUGUUUUUAUUUUGAAAACAUACCCGUUCCUUGGCAUUGGUUGAGUUCACCCUCACGUGGUGGUUUGGCGUGAAGUGAACUCUAAAGUUUUAACCUCAAGAGUUAUCCAACCGCGCCUCUCAUACUGAGGUAUGAAUAUAAUAGGGUUAUCGUGCCCCUCUAAUAAGCUGGUCCACGGAACCCGUCAACUGCAGCGACCAAUUAUAACCCACCAAUUCAACAAAAUUCAACAGCAUGACAUGGCAAUUAUUUCAUUUUACAGCCUCUCAAGGCAAAUCAACAGUUCAUACUUUUUCAGCACAUUUACCAAAUCCAACCAUUCAUGCCAAUAUUAUCAUAAGCCAUUCAAUUCAAACCAUGAUUUAUAACACAGCAAUUAGUCUCCAAUUACUCUAUUUUCAAACCAUCAUUUCAUUGCAAGACAAUGUUAUAAAAUCAUUUCAUUAAAUCACAUUUUAAUUACAAAAUGCAUAGAUUUACCAUUUAACUUAUUUUUCAUAAAAUCACAAAAUUGGAUAAAAACCACUUUAGAUAAUUAAGAUGAUAGUAAGGUUAUUCACUAUUUCGGGAGUCGAAUUUCGAGUACUCCGAUCUUGAUCCUCGGGUACUAUCUCUUUACUUUUGCCAGAAAGCUCACCACCUAGACAUAAUGCACAAUAAGCCAUUUACUACAUUUGUGCUAAACCGUUGUAAAACCAAUUUAGGCUUUAUACUAAUGCAUGAAAUGGGAUGUGAAAUACUCAGGUAACUAUCUAAAUACGGUGUUCAAUAUAAAUUCAAUUAUGUACCUAAAUAAAACGGUAUUGGCCUAAUUCGAUCUAUCACCCGAUUAAAUUGGCCAAUACGUCCAAUUCAACUCCAAAUAAUUCCAUUUUUCUCCCAAUACUCCAAAUCAUCAAACACAAAUUAAAUAACUUGAAAUAUGGCAAAAUCAUCCUCACAUUUUCUCUUGAAAAAUUCGGCCAUGGUGGAUGCAUCAACACUAUAAUUUUUCAAGCUUGAUUCUCUCACCAUAAAUCACUAAUUCCUAACCAAAUCACUUGAAAUAAAAUCAAAAUCAUCAUCAAUAUUCUACAUGGAGAAUUCGAUCAAUGAUGAGUGAUGGAAGAACAUGAAUUUUUCUUGCUUGAUUUUCAUGCUACACAUCACUAACUAACUAAAAACACUAAAAUAUCUUAAAAUAUAACCAAAUCAAGCAUCAAAAACUUCUCCCCCCAUGUCCAGCCAGCAAGGGUAUCCUCAUGCAAACUUGAUUCUCAACCAUGGAAAAUGAAAAAGAAUGCAUAGGAAAGGUAGAUCACAAGCUAGAAUUGAAAAAUCUUACCUUUUGUCACUUGAUUCUUUGAAUUUUCACACUUUUCCCUUGAAUUUUUCCACCUAGGGUUUUGUUCUUUCUUUUCUUCCUUUGUUCUUGCUUUGGCCAGCCAUAAGAAUGAGAAAUGGGCUGAUUUUGUGCUGAUUUAUAAGGAAAAUAAUAAAUGGAUGAAAAUUUGACACAUGUCACCAUUCCAUUGGUCCAUGUGUCAUACUUACCCAUUAAGAAAUCUCUCUCCACCACUUAAAUUUCCUCAAUUAUCCAUCAUAAUAUUGGGUAAAAUUCAUGUGCUGGACAAGUGUUGGGCGGUGUAAAAUUACAAUUUUGCCCUUGAGGUGGCAAAAUGACUAUUUUGCCCUUAUGCUCGAAAAAAUACCGAAAUUAAAAUUUUUCACUUCUCAAACUCAAAUUAUGUUCUAAAUAGUCAAUCUUGAUCAAAAAAUUCUUCCAACAUUCCAAUUUUAACCUCGGGUGGCAAAAUGACCAUUUUACCCCUAGGUCAUGAAAAUUCUAAUUUGACUCCAAAUCGGUCCUUGAACUCCGAAUCACCAUUUUAAGUCAUUCUGGGGUUUUAAAAUUCUCAAUUUCAUAUUAAAAUCUCUAUUUGGACUAGUUCGAGGCUUAAUUCAACUUAAUUGUACCAUUUUGUACAUUAUCGUCCUUUAACGAUUUUCGAAGUACCCAAGUAAGCAAACAUGCAUUCUUAUGUAGGAAUGGCAUAAUAAACAUAUUGUAGAGCUGGGCUUUACACCAGGAGUAGGAGUACUCCCGUUAUAGUGAGUAAUAGACUUUCAUCUUAACUAUCUAAAGUUGUUUUUACUCGUUUUUAUGUUUUAAAGAAUAAUGAGUUUAAAUUGUAAAUUAUUAUGUUUUAAAAUUGAAGUGUUGGUUAAACGAAAUGAGAUUUAUAACUUGCUUUGAAAUCGAAUACUGGUUUUGAAAAUUGCGUAAGUGGAGACUAUAUACUUGUGUUAUAUAUAUGUUUUGACAUAUGGUUUGAAUUGAUGGCUUAUGACAAUGUGAUGGCAUGAAUGGCUGGAUUUGUGUUUGUGUGGAAUAUAUGAAUUGUUUUGUUUUACCUUGACAAGCUGGGUAAUAUCAUAUUAUCCAUGUCAUGCUGUUGAAAUUUUUUUUGAUUUGGUGGGGUAAGUGAUUAGCUUACUGCAAUGGGCGAGUUUUCGUGGACCAGCCUAUUAGAGGGGUACGGUAAACCCUGUUAUAUUUUACCUAAGUAUGAGAGGCGCGAAGGGUUUCUCCUAAGGUAGUUUAGAGUUCACUUCACGUCGAACCACCACGUGAGGGUGAAACUCAGCCAACGCCAAGGAACGACUACGUUUUUAAACGUAAAAACAUAUUUUAUGUGUAUAUGUUAAUUUAACAGCCUUAGCGGACUCGAUUGGUUGCCCGGCUCAAGGUGUCACCGAGGAAGAGUUUUGGCACAAGCCAAGUUUUAAGAGAGUCAUAAGCCUUACUGAUUUUUUUUAUGAAAUGUAAUUGUUUUAUAUGGUUGAAAUGAGUUUUAAUGUUAUGAAUCAUAUUAUGAAGAGAUGUUUUAAUUCUCUCCAUUUACUUGGCUUUAGAUGUUAUAGAUGAACUUUGCUUACUCACUGGGUUUAUAAAAACUCACCCCCUUCUUUUCACCCAUUUCAGGUUCAGAGCAGUCUGUAGACAGUCGAUUUUGUCGAGGGUUUGCUUUUGGAUUUGCACCCUUAGAAAUCGUAGGUCUACAGUCCUGUUUAUUUUUGUUAUUUUGGGGCUCACAUGUCAUUGUAGAAUAUUUUUGUAUACCUUGGCG